GGCGGGUUAGCGUAAUGGUUAACGCGCCAGUUUCCGGUGGUAAGGAUCAGCUGGAGAUUCUGGGUUCGAGUCCCAGGCCUGUCG
rfam:Hypsizygus marmoreus strain 51987-8 scaffold_1, whole genome shotgun sequence.